rnacentral:rRNA from 1 species
AUGAACGCUGGCGGCGUGCCUAAUACAUGCAAGUCGAGCGCACAGAUGAGGAGCUUGCUCCUCUGACGUUAGCGGCGGACGGGUGAGUAACACGUGGAUAACCUACCUAUAAGACUGGGAUAACUUCGGGAAACCGGAGCUAAUACCGGAUAAUAUAUUGAACCGCAUGGUUCAAUAGUGAAAGACGGUUUUGCUGUCACUUAUAGAUGGAUCCGCGCCGCAUUAGCUAGUUGGUAAGGUAACGGCUUACCAAGGCAACGAUGCGUAGCCGACCUGAGAGGGUGAUCGGCCACACUGGAACUGAGACACGGUCCAGACUCCUACGGGAGGCAGCAGUAGGGAAUCUUCCGCAAUGGGCGAAAGCCUGACGGAGCAACGCCGCGUGAGUGAUGAAGGUCUUCGGAUCGUAAAACUCUGUUAUUAGGGAAGAACAAAUGUGUAAGUAACGAUGCACGUCUUGACGGUACCUAAUCAGAAAGCCACGGCUAACUACGU